AUACGAAAGGUGCAAGCGUUGUUCGGAUUUACUGGGCGUAAAGAGAGUGUAGGUGGUUUAUUAAGUCGGAUGUGAAAUCCCGGGGCUCAACCUCGGAACUGCAUUCGAUACUGAUAGGCUAGAGUUUGGGAGGGGUAAGCGGAAUUCCGUGUGUAGCAGUGAAAUGCGUAGAUAUACGGAGGAACACCUGAGGCGAAGGCGGCUUACUGGACCAAUACUGACACUGAGACUCGAAAGCGAGGGUAGCAAACAGGAUUAGAUACCCUAGUAGUCC
rnacentral:rRNA from 1 species